GCUGUAGCUCAGUGGUACAACAUCUGCCUUGCAUGCAGAAGGUCCCUGGUUCAAUCCCCAGCAUCUCCA
rnacentral:tRNA from 1 species